GGUGGAAAACAGAGCAUUGUAAAGUGCACAGAUCAAAACAGCAAUAAACAGAGAGGAAAAGGAAUAUUUUCCCAUGAAGGGUAAGUGAGUUGAAAGAACUUACACUUUGAACAUUUC
rnacentral:lncRNA from 1 species